UUGUCAGUGUGCCUGAUGCUUAACCAACCCCAGUUCUUCAUAUGGCCCUAUUGCAUUGUUUGGAACUCAGUGUAAAAUACAUUUUGCAUAUUUUCUCUGGAUAAUUGCCAAGUCAUGCCAUUGCUCUUGUUUUAUCCUUUCUCUUUUCAGCUCUUUUCUGCUGUUGCUUCUCCUCAUUCCUUCCUCCCCCCAGCCAGAUGCCACAGCUCCUUGCCGCAGAUGCUGAGCCAUGCUGGAGCAGCCACGUGUAGCCAUCACGGCUCCACUGCUGGCUGCAGAGUGCCAGCUACCAGCUACAUGGAUGGGAAGGCUCCUGCCAGAAUCCAAGAUGAGCUGAGGGAAGAUGCAGGAUUAUUUCUGGGACAUGCUAAAGGAUGCCAUGUUCAAUGAACCAGAAGUCUGCUCCUAAGGUUGCUGGAGGAGAGGAAUGAACGCAGAGGAGAGGCAGUCUUCUACAUGGACCAUGAAAGUGGAGCUCUUCCCCCAAGCCUGUGUGGUGUGGAGGUCCACACAAUAAAACAGAAAGAACUGCAGCAAACUCCCACAUCUUUGACAAGAUCUCUGUUUUGGCACCAAGACAUAUAGUAGCAUAUAUAACCAACAAUGCUUUUACAUUAAAAUGCAGACUAUGCGACCUUAAAUCUAUAGUGUUUCUGAUGGUGUAUUUUCUAAGUUGGAAUACAUCAAAUGCACUCCUUGAAAUUCCAUGCAGUGCACUUGUUGUCACACCCUUUAUUCUGUCUGUAGUUGUCCCCAGCCUUGCUUCUACCUGCAGAGCU